UGGGGAAUUUUGGACAAUGGGCGCAAGCCUGAUCCAGCAAUGCCGCGUGUGUGAAGAAGGCCUUCGGGUUGUAAAGCACUUUAAGCAGGGAAGAAAAAACUCGGUCUAAUACAUCGAGUCUUGACGGUACCUGAAGAAUAAGCACCGGCUAACUCUGUGCCAGCAGCCGCGGUAAUACAGAGGGUGCUAGCGUUAAUCGGAUUUACGGGCGUAAAGCGUGUGUAGGUGGUUGUUCAAGUCAGUUGUGAAAUCCCUGGGCUUAACCUGGGAACUGCUUCUGAGACUGAACGACUAGAGUACGGUAGAGGGUGGUGGAAUUUCCGGUGUAGCGGUGAAAUGCGUAGAUAUCGGAAGGAACAUCAAUGGCGAAGGCAGCCACCUGGGCCUGUACUGACACUGAGACACGAAAGCGUGGGGAUCAAACAGGAUUAGAUACCCUGGUAGUCCACGCCGUAAACGAUGAGAACUUGACGUCGGUUUGCUCUGCAAGUCGGUGUCGUAGCUAACGCGAUAAGUUCUCCGCCUGGGGAGUACGGCCGC
rnacentral:rRNA from 1 species